rnacentral:rRNA from 1 species
GAUGAACGCUGGCGGCGUGCCUAAUACAUGCAAGUCGAGCGAACGGACGAGAAGCUUACUUCUCUGAUGUUAGCGGCGGACGGGUGAGUAACACGUGGAUAACCUACCUAUAAGACUGGGAUAACUUCGGGAAACCGGAGCUAAUACCGGAUAAUAUUUUGAACCGCAUGGUUCAAAAGUGAAAGACGGUCUUGCUGUCACUUAUAGAUGGAUCCGCGCUGCAUUAGCUAGUUGGUAAGGUAACGGCUUACCAAGGCAACGAUGCAUAGCCGACCUGAGAGGGUGAUCGGCCACACUGGAACUGAGACACGGUCCAGACUCCUACGGGAGGCAGCAGUAGGGAAUCUUCCGCGAUGGGCGAAAGCCUGACGGAGCAACGCCGCGUGAGUGAUGAAGGUCUUCGGAUCGUAAAACUCUGUUAUUAGGGAAGAACAUAUGUGUAAGUAACUGUGCACAUCUUGACGGUACCUAAUCAGAAAGCCACGGCUAACUACGUG